CCGUGGGCGCUGGGGGCACGGGGACCGGACUGCUGGUCCACCUGGGUCGCCCGGCACCCCUGGGUCGAGGCUGUGGCGCCCCCAGGGAAAUGGGGCUUGCAGCACCAGCUCGCAGAGCGCCACGGGCUUCCUCUGGCCUCGGAAAAAGCAUGACUUUCAAAAAUUGAGUCUCCACUUAGCACCGCUUCCUUUCCAGGCGACUCUCAGGAAAUGUGGGGGGUGCUGUGCGAAUAUAUGUGGGGGGCAUUGAGGUCUGGGAGAUUCGCCUCCCCCCAGGCCCGCCCUGGCAUCCCCCUGCCCACCCCAAGCCUCCAGGCCGCUGCCUUAUCUCUUCCUUCCCGGGUCCUCCUCCUCAAUGUCACCUGUCCCCCGACUUCGAGUCUUGCCUUGGGGUCACACCAGGCCCAGCCCCUAACAGUGUCCUUCAUCCAGACCCCAUCCCCAGAGUUAAUCUCCAGCUAGCUCUGCCCCCUGGACAAACUCCUGCCCAAAAACUGCUGUGAUGCCCCCCCUGCCCCCAAGCUAAGUCCCCACCCCUCAGCUGCCCAGGGCAGCCUCUGCCUAGUUGGCGGCCUCUGCCCUGCCCUCCUCUCUCCAGUGCACGGAGAACAGGAGGGCCAGGAAGGACCCCCCAGCCACCCUCCCCGCUGGGACCGGGUGAUGCCGUGGCAGUGCCCGUGGGAAGCAGGUGUGGGAUCGCGCUCCACACCCAGUGGGGCUGGCCAGCAGCGACUGAGGACAGUGUGACUAUUUAUAGGACUGGCUGUCAGAGCUGAGGAGGGGCCUCAGAGACCCUAUUCUAGUGUGUGAGGAAACUGAAUCCCAGAGAAGGGACAGCCUUACCCCAGCCUCUGCCCCCACCUGAAGCCUGGCCUUUCUCUGCCCAGGGCCCUGCAGUGCCUCGGAAGGAACCCACCCAGCCUUUGGGAAGCACCCUUGAGAGGCACUGGGUGGGACCCUGGAGCAUGGCAGGGGCUCCUCAGCUCUCCAGAUCCCUGGCUGCGCAUAGGACAGAAUCCCCACCCCCGGCAUUGUCACAGACCAUUAAUUCUGGGCUCUCUCAUGCUCUCAGGAAGCCUCACCCGGGCCCCUGGCUCCUGCUGCACAGCCAGGAGGGGGUUGGAUUCAGGCUCCGGUGACACUGUCGGGGCUGCUCCUCACCCCCAGGCCACCCAGAGGAGAAGGCCACCCCGCCUGGAGGCGCGGGCCAUGAGGGGCUCUCAGGAGGUGCUGCUGACAUGGCUUCUGGUGUUGGCAGUGGGCGGCACGGAGCACACCUACCGGCCGGGCCGUAGGGUGUGUGCCGUCCGGGCUCACGGGGACCCUGUCUCCGAGUCGUUCGUGCAGCGUGUGUACCAGCCCUUCCUCACCACCUGCGACGGGCACCGGGCCUGCAGCACCUACCGAACCAUCUAUAGGACCGCCUACCGCCGCAGCCCGGGGCUGGCCCCUGCCAGGCCUCACUACGCGUGCUGCCCUGGCUGGAAGAGGACCAGCGGGUUUCCCGGGGCCUGUGGAGCAGCAAUAUGCCAGCCGCCAUGCCGGAACGGAGGAAGCUGUGUCCAGCCUGGCCGCUGCCGCUGCCCUGCAGGAUGGCAGGGUGAAACCUGCCAGUCAGAUGUGGAUGAAUGCAGUGCUAGGAGGGACAGCUGUCCCCAGGGCUGCGUCAACACUGCCGGCAGUUACUGGUGCCAGUGUUGGGAGGGGCACAGCCUGUCUGCAGACGGUACACUCUGCGUGCCCAAGGGAGGGCCCCCCAGGGUGGCCCCCAACCCGACAGGUAAACUCAGCCCUGGCUGUGCCUGGCCUGGGGAGGCGGGCAGGCAGUGGACAUUGUCGUGUGUGGCUCUGUUAGGCAUGGUGGGGGGCACUGGAAUAUGGGCGGAAGGCGGUGGGGGCUCCCUCUCCAGGGAGGGAGGAUGGGGAGGGAGGAUAGGUGGGUUCCCGAGAACUGGGGGCAAGUUGCCCGGAGCCUCAUGUCAGCCAAGAAGGCGGAAGUGCCCCGUCCCGGGGUCCCGUCCGCGUCCAGCGCAGCAUUCUGGAAGACGCCACGCCUCCGCUGGCGAUGGGACAUUAUUACUUUUGGUACGCGCUGUGACACUUCAAACUCGUACCGUGAGUAAUAAUGCGCCGUCCACAGCACCGCAUCGAAAGCGCCGCUGAGACCUCAGCCUUGACCUCCCUCAGCGUGGCCGGGACCCUGAGCAUCUGUGCAGACCCAUGCGCCCUGAUGUACUUAGGUGGCACAGCCCUGAGACCUCUGGCCAGCGCCAGGCAGGCAGCGGGAGCGGCAGAGGCCUGGGCCUGAGUCUUCUGGCUCUGCCUCUCCCUGGGGACAGAAGGGAGCCUGGGGGUGUGGGUGGGGAGCCGGCCGUCCCUGACUCAGCGCCUGGCUCUGCCCCCAGGAGUGGACACUGCCAUGAAGGAGGAAGUGCAGAGGCUGCAGUCCAGGGUGGACCUGCUGGAGGAGAAGCUGCAGCUGGUGCUGGCCCCACUGCACAGCCUGGCCUCGCAGGCACUGGAGCACGGGCUCCCGGACCCCGGCAGCCUCCUGGUGCACUCCUUCCAGCAGCUGGGCCGCAUCGACUCUCUGAGCGAGCAGAUUUCCUUCCUGGAGGAGCAGCUGGGGUCCUGCUCCUGCAAGAAAGACUCGUGACUGCCCGGCGCCCCAGGCUGGACUGAGCCCCUCACGCCACGCUGCAGCCCCCAUGCCCCUGCCCAACAUGCUGGGGGUCCAGAAACCACCUCGGGGGACUGAGCGGAAGGCCAGGCAGGGCCCUCCUCUUUCUCCCCUUCCUCAGGAGGCUCCCAGGGCCCUGGCAUGGGGUAGGCUGGGGUCUUCUGUGUGAAUCCACCCCUGGCUACCCCAACGGCAUCCCAGGGCCAGGUGGGCCCUCAGCUGAGGGAAGGUACGAGCUCCCUGCUGGAGCCUGGGACCCAUGGCACAGGCCAGGCAGCCUGGAGGCUGGGUGGGGCCUCAGUGGAGGCUGCUGCCUGACCCCCAGCACAAUAAAAAUGAAAUGUGA